rnacentral:rRNA from 1 species
GACGAAUGCUGGCUGCGUGCUUAACACAUGCAAGUCGAACGGUGAACAGGGGCUUGCCCCUGGGAUCAGUGGCGAACGGGUGAGUAACACGUGGGCAACCUGCCCCUCACUCUGGGAUAACUCCGGGAAACCGGGGCUAAUACCGGAUACGACCGGGACCGACAGCGGGUCCGGUGGAAAGAACUUCGGUGAGGGAGGGGCCCGCGGCCUAUCAGCUUGUUGGUGAGGUAACGGCUCACCAAGGCGACGACGGGUAGCCGGCCUGAGAGGGCGACCGGCCACACUGGGACUGAGACACGGCCCAGACUCCUACGGGAGGCAGCAGUGGGGAAUAUUGCGCAAUGGGCGAAAGCCUGACGCAGCGACGCAGCGUGAGGGACGAAGGCCUUCGGGUUGUAAACCUCUUUCAGCGGGGACGAAGCGAAAGUGACGGUACCCGCAGAAGAAGCACCGGCUAACUACGUGCCAGCCGCCGCUGUAAAAC